rnacentral:rRNA from 1 species
CUGCGGCAGGUUUGCUGUUAGGCAAUGUGGUGUGCGGGUCGGCUGGCGGGACCGCCGCUCCACUCGAAGUCCAGCAUUGAGUAUGGUGAUGAUGGAGGUAGAUGAUGGCCCACAGAGGGUGAGAGGCCCGUAGGAGUGGAGUGGUCCAGGCGUGUGAGGCGGUUCACCAGGUCGGCCUAAGAGUCGGGUUGUUUGAGAUUGCAGCCCAAAGUGGGUGGUAAACUCCAUCCAAGGCUAAAUACAAGCACGAGUCCGAUAGCGAACAAGUACCGUGAGGGAAAGUUGAAAAGUACUCUGAAGAGAGAGUAAAGAGUGCGUGAAACCGCGUGCAGGUAAACGGGUGGCGUCAAGCUGCUGGCCCGGAGGAGUGGGCUGACCGGAAGGUGGGUGCGCGCAAUGCUCUGUCCCUGAGGGCGAGGGGCGGCACGUGGCUGUGUUUUUGGCAGUGGCGGCGACGUGUGCCGGGUGGGUGCCGGAGCAUGGCAUUGUGAUGAGUGGGCCUUGCGGUUGGUCGUGUAAUUCCUCUGUGGUGCACACCACCACCGG